UUUACUUUGGCAGAAGAGAUAUGCGUUAGAUUUAGAAUUUAAUUAUAUAGGAUUUACUAUAAGUAAAG
rnacentral:tRNA from 1 species